ACAAACUCAAGGAAUCAACAAAGAAUGCAAUAUUGGCAAAUUUUUCACUUACUUGAGAAAAAAUGUGAUUCUUCUACUAUGCACUAAGUUAUUUUCUAUCUCUCAAAAGAUAUCUCUUUUUACUUGAAAAAGCUUCACUAUCUUUCAUUCUAAGGUUUCUUGUAAGUUUUUUUUUUUUUAAAACUUGCUUCUUCAUAUUCAAAGAUUGAUACUUUUCAUCAUUAUUAUCAUCUUCAACAUCUUUACAGUCUUCAUUGAUGAUUUUAGUAAUUUUAGGCAUACUUUGAUCUAUCUUCUUUGGCUCUUCAUCUUCAUUUGAAUUUUUGCUAUCAUCAAUGUAAUCAUCUUUUUCUUCUUCUUUUGUUGAAAUUGAAGAUGUAUCUACAAACACACCAUUACUCCCACUUGGAUACAUCUUUGAUUGUUAAAAGUACUCAUAUACUCCAAAAAUUCUACAUCACAACUCUUAAUGAUCUUCUUGGUUUCUAAAUAUAUUAAUCUAUAUGCUUUAGUACCUUCAUAAUAU
rnacentral:lncRNA from 1 species